GAUGAACGCUGGCGGCGUGCCUAAUACAUGCAAGUCGAGCGAACAGAUGAGGAGCUUGCACCUAUGGCGUGAGCGGCGGACGGGUGAGUAACACGUGGAUAACCUACCUAUAAGAGGGGGACAACAUCGGGAAACCGGAGCUAAUACCGCAUAAUAUCUUUAAACACAUGGUUCAAGAGUGAAAGACGGAAUUGCAGUACCCAAUGAUUGGACCCCCGCGUAUUUGGCAGGUUGGUAGGGUAACGCCUUCCAAAGGGAAGGAUCCUUAGCCAACCUGAGAGGUGGUUCGCCCACUCUGGAAUGGGGCACCGCUCCAGAUUCCUCCGGGAGGCGGCAUUAGGGAUCUUUCCGCAUUGGGCGAAAGCCUGACGGACCAAGGCCGCGGGAGGGAUGAAGGUCUUCGGUUCGUAAACCUCUUUUAUUAGGGAGGAACAAAUUUGGAGUUAACUGUUCACGUCUUGACGGUACCUACCCAGAAAGCCACGGCUAACUACGUG
rnacentral:rRNA from 1 species